AAUAAAGAUUUUCAGAAUCAGGCCGGGAUGUUGAGACAUCUCGUGUACUCGGUCGUACAUCAAGCCGGUUGCCUGGUUCCUUGCAUUGAGUGAUGUACGGAGUUUAAGAGC
rfam:Enterobacter aerogenes KCTC 2190, complete genome.